rnacentral:rRNA from 1 species
AUUGAACGCUGGCGGCAGGCCUAACACAUGCAAGUCGAACGGUAACAGGAAACAGCUUGCUGUUUCGCUGACGAGUGGCGGACGGGUGAGUAAUGUCUGGGAAACUGCCUGAUGGAGGGGGAUAACUACUGGAAACGGUAGCUAAUACCGCAUAACGUCGCAAGACCAAAGAGGGGGACCUUCGGGCCUCUUGCCAUCGGAUGUGCCCGGUGGGGAUUAGCUAGUAGGUGGGGUAACGGCUGACCUAGGCGACCAUCCCUAGCUGGUCUGGGCGGCCGCCCCACCACCCUGGGACUGAGACCCGGUCCAGACUCCUACGGGAGGCAGCAGUGGGGAAUAUUGCACAAUGGGCGCAAGCCUGAUGCAGCCAUGCCGCGUGUAUGAAGGAGGCCUUCGGGUUGUAAAGUACUUUCAGCGGGGAGGAAGGGAGUACAGUUAAUACCUUUGCUCAUUGACGUUACCCGCAGAAGAAGCACCGGCUAACUCCGUGCCAGCAGCCGCGGUAA